UCUGUAGGUGGUUUAAUAAGUCAACUGUUAAAUCUUGAGGCUCAACCUCAAAAUCGCAGUCGAAACUAUUAGACUAGAGUAUAGUAGAGGUAAAGGGAAUUUCCAGUGGAGCGGUGAAAUGCGUAGAUAUUGGAAAGAACACCGAUGGCGAAAGCACUUUACUGGGCUAUUACUAACACUCAGAGACGAAAGCUAGGGUAGCAAAUG
rnacentral:rRNA from 1 species